rnacentral:misc_RNA from 1 species
AACGCACGAGACCUGCGGACCUGCGGAAGGAUCAUUACCGAGUUUACAACUCCCAAACCCAAUGUGAACGUUACCAAACUGUUGCCUCGGCGGGAUCUCUGCCCCGGGUGCGUCGCAGCCCCGGACCAAGGCGCCCGCCGGAGGACCAACCAAAACUCUUUUGUAUACCCCCUCGCGGGUUUUUAUAUCUGAGCCAUCUCGGCGCCUCUCGUAGGCGUUCCGAAAAUGAAUCAAAACUUU